AGCGAGGAUUCAGGGCCAACCUUUGGAGGUCACGGUGGUUUCUUGCACGAAAUUGAAGGAUACUGAAUGGAUUUCAAGACAAGAUCCCUACGUUUGCCUUGAAUACGCUUCCACCAAAUUCCGAACAAGAACAUCCACAGGCGGUGGAAAACAUUCGGUGUUUUGACUUGAGUUGAUUUGUUUGUUGACCUGAUUUGGAUGGAACAGGCGGUGGAAAACAUCGGGUGUUUCAAGAGAAGUCCGUGGUGCCGUUAAUUGAAGGUCUUCGUGAACUCACUGUUGUUGUUUGGAACAGCAAUACUGUCACAUUCGAUGAUUUUAUCGGCACCGGAAAGUAAGCACUACUAAUUCUCCUAUCUCUCGAUUUGUUAUUUAUUAUUUGGUAUUCAUUGAUUGUGGUUGAUUGAUUCUGUUAUUAGGGUUCAAUUGAACCAAGUUCUGUCUCAAGGUUUUGAUGAUUCUUCUUGGCCACUUCAAACUAAAUCUGGCAGAAUCGAUGGUCAGAGAUGUUUCCUUGUAUGAUUGCAAGAGCUUCCAAAAGUGAAGUGAUAUCUAGUGGAAUAAAUGGAACUAGAAAUGGUGCUCUUCAACUGGUAUGUAAACAUUGACACCAAAAAGACAACACCAACACUGAUGCGGUGACACUGAUAUUUUAUUUACCAUAUGAAAUGUAUUUGUUAAUUGACAGAAGCAAGUUAAACUUCAAGUAUUUUCUCUGUUGAUUCUAGUUAAAGAAGUGAAUUUUCUACGUUUUUGCAAGCAACAUGCAAAGGGGUAUCGGCAGUGGCUGAUGUGUUGAUUAAUACCUUCAAAGAAACUUCUUUUGGUGGUGCACCUACUUUUCAUAAUUGUAGGAGGCUUCCUUCUGGUUGUGUGGUUCAAGAUAUGCCAAAUGGUUACUCUAAGACAGAAACUAUUGACUUGGCAGGACAAGGCCCUGUGGCAGACACUACAUUCUCUCUCAUUACACCUCCAUACCACGUCCCUCUCUUUUUCUCUUUCCUUUGCCCAACCUUAGUGUACCGCGGUCUCCUUUUCCACCCUAUACAUGACCAUAGGACUUUUUAAUAACUACUGGAGGAAGUGUUUUGUUGAGAAAGAGGACUUUUUAAUGCAUGCUGAGAGAUAUGUGAAAGAAAAUGGAACUCAAGCCUUAGAGAAACUCAUUGCUAGCAAGGCUUGAUGCAAAAGUGACAAAUGAAAUGAUAUCUACUGAUAAUAAAGAAAUGCUAAAGACAAACAGAGAAAGACUCCAAAUUGGGGACCUAGACAUCAAAUAUUUGGAGGCUAUUAAGAAAUGAGAAAUUCCUGCUACCAAGCAAGUGGAGGCUAUAUUAGACAAAGAUAAUUUCACUUUAGAAGAGCUUCUAGAUGAGGAGGAAGUAAUCUAAGAAUGCAAGGCCUUGAACAGUCAUCUUAUUAAUUUACAUGUUUCCAUUUAAUUUCAACGAAUUGAGUUUUAUUCAUUUUCCUAAGUCUCACAGUUUUGUGCAUUUUCUUGACUAAAUCAAUAUUUUAGUCCUUGAAAUUGUAUGUGACGGUUUAUUUAGUUCCUCAAAUUUCUGAAAUAGCAAUUUUGUCUCAUAAAUUAAAUGUCAGUCAAUUUAGUCCCUGUUCCAAAUUUAACAUCAUUGUUUUGAAGGUUGUAUGUUUGUCUUGAUGCACCAAGUGAUGAUUCAAGUCAAUAUGUUCAGUCUCAUUUUUUUAUUAGUUAUGAGCUUUGUCUAUCAGCUAUAGGUGAAUCUGGUCUGUGUGAUAUUGGCAAAAUAUGAAAAAUUAGAUAAAAAAUUAAAGGAAAAAAGGUGAAACUGACCUAUCAAUAAAAAAAUUACAAGAUAUAUUACAUCGGGCUAUCAUGGAAACCGAUGUAAAAACAUACAUUUUACACCGGGCUAUCAUGAAAACCGAUGUAAAAACAUACAUUUUACAUCGGGCUAUUACGAACCCAAAGUUUAAUAUUGCAUAUAUAUAUUUUUAAAAAAAUAUUGGAUUUUGUUUCACAUCACACAUAAUUUCAACCGAUAUAAUAUCAUGAUUUUUCACAUCGGCUUGUUGCCCGAUGUAAAAUGUCCUGAAUUUAUUACAUCGCUUGGAUUUACAUCGGACCCAGACCCGAUGUAAAAUGUACUUUUCGCCCGAUGUAAAAAGUGUUUUCUGCACUAGUGAACAACCACAUACCU